UGCUUGGAUAUUUUGGAAAUUAAUCCUUUGUCAGUUGUUUCAUUUGUUAUUAUUUCCUUGGACCUCACUUUUAGCUUGCUUUGUCUCUCUGGACAGUCCCUCAAUUCUUGUGAGACUUGUAGAGAGUUGGAUGCUGCUUUGUGUCAGGAAAUUGAGAGGCUGGAUGUGCACUGGAAUUUGGAGAAUAAAAACAGAGUAUUUCCAACCACAAUGGCAAUAACCACUUACUGAAAGCAAAUUAUUGAAUGCAAAAAAGCGUGCCUGGCAUCGUUCUUAGCACGUAUAUGGAGUGAGUCAUUUAAUUCUAACAAUCCUAUGACAUCGUCCCACCAUCAACUCCAUUCAACAGAUGGGGGAAAUUAAACCUUACACAGGAUACUCUUGGCCCUCAGGAUUACUCAGCCAUAUUUAUACCCAGGUCUGAAUGAUAAGACACUGAUAAUAACAUACAGCAUAGGGAGGAGGGGACUGGCGUCACCCUAACCCAAACAAGAGUGAUCCUGCCCCAGGUCCCUUCUGUUCUGAGGCCCCAGAGCAACCCCAGAGAGCAAGUGUCCCAGGACUCAGGGUUCUGGAGAACCUAUCAUCUUUGUACAGUACCACAAACCAUCUGGCAUGUACUGUCUGUGCAUCCUCCCAUGUCCUGUCCAUACAUCUUCUGUAUCAGAUGACAGCGACCCAUUGACUGGCUCACCUUUGUGCCUGCAAUGUGGCAGUGACCAUUUUGGGCAGGGAACCACCUUCAGCAUGCCAUCUGAUGAGACAUCCCUUUCUGUCCUGCUGGACUUUGUCUUCAAAAGAGUCCUGGAGAGCAGGAACUCACAGAGAGGCCCUGAAUCACACAUUCUGGCACCAUUGUGGGAGACUUCCAUAUGUCUGUGUUAGUUCAUUGUCCCUUCAGAAAUUGUGACUGCCUGUCUGUCUUCCCUGGCAGUUCUGCAGGAAGACUUGUCCUAGGCAGGUCCCAGCUGCUUCUCUUUCAGGAGUCAGUUCACGACUGGUUGUAAAGCAUUCUGAAAAACAAGGAAGACUGCAAUGAAUUCUGUUUGUUAUGGAAGGAAUGAUGAGUUAUACCUAUCUUGGGACCUCCCUUCCACCCAAGCUCCUCACUAGUCAGUUCCCUGAGGGCUACAGAAAGUGGGUGGAAAUAAAGGCAAGGGCGGGCACUUUCUAAGUGGCAGCCUCUGUCCAAGACUCUUUUUUUUGUGUGUGCAAGACUCUUUACCUGUGUUAACACCUUUAGUUCCAACAGUGUGUCACUGAGGGAAGAACAACUGUUCCCCCCUUUGCAGGUGAGACAAAUAGAGAGAUUAAGUAACUUGUUCAAAGGUCAGUCAGUGAGCAGAAGAAGCGGGAUUCAAACUCCAGAGCCCAUCCUAACUGCUGUCCUCUGCUGCUUCCCCAUUUUCAGUAUUAUGUUUAUUAUUUUUGCAACACAGCUCCUACUAUUAUUUCUCAUUUCAUAGAUGAAGAAACCGAGGUUCAAAGAGGGUUCAGAGUUGCCCCAGGUCAAACAGCCAGUGAGUGGCAGAGCUGAAACUUGAACUCACAUCUUUCAGGCUCUGCAGUCUGAACCUUCAGCCUCCCAGGAAGGAGAUGGAGUGAGAAAAGAUGAUAUAAGUGAAAAAACCCUGCAAACUUAAGGAAUGAAUCCUCCCUCUUCACAAGGGAAACAUACUUUCCUGUCUUGUUUACCCAGACCUGCUGUUGUCAGUUCUCCGCCAGCCUCCUAUUCUCCUUGCUGGAGCAUUUAAUAACAACCAGGUCCCCCGAUGGAUAUCUUGCCAUUGGAUGGUCCUGUUUUUGAAGGUGAAAUGGCAUCUUGAAAUCUCUUCUCUGGGGCUUCCCUGGUGGCUCAGACUGUGAAGAAUCUGCCUGCAUUGUAGGAGACCCAGGU